rnacentral:rRNA from 1 species
UACAGAGGAGCCAAGCGUUGUCCGGAUUGACUGGGCGUAAAGCGCACGCAGGCGGAUACGCGCGUGGGGUGUGAAAUCUGGCCGCUUAACGGCCAGGCGCCAUCCCAUACGGCGUGUCUGGAGCUGUGCAGAGGUCGGUGGAAUUGCCGGUGUAGUGGUGAAAUGCGUAGAGAUGUGGAGGAACACCGAUGGCGAAGGCAGCCUCCUGGGCCAGCACUGACGCUCAUGCACGAAAGCGUGGGGAGCAAACAGG